rnacentral:rRNA from 1 species
GAUGAACGCUAGCGGCAGGCCUAAUACAUGCAAGUCGAACGGUAACAUGAGAGCUUGCUCUUGAUGACGAGUGGCGCACGGGUGCGUAACGCGUAUGCAACCUACCUACAACAGGGAGAUAGCCCGGAGAAAUUCGGAUUAAUACCCCAUAGUAUUAUUUGAUGGCAUCUGAGAAUAAUUAAAGAUUUAUCGGUUGUAGAUGGGCAUGCGUAAGAUUAGCUAGAUGGUGAGGUAAUGGCUCACCAUGGCGAUGAUCUUUAGGGGGUCUGAGAGGAUGAUCCCCCACACUGGUACUGAGAUACGGACCAGACUCCUACGGGAGGCAGCAGUAGGGAAUAUUGGUCAAUGGAGGCAACUCGUGAACCAGCCAUGCCGCGUGAAGGAAGAAGGCGUUCUGCGUUGUAAACUUCUUUUAUACAGGAAGAAUAUGUCCCUUGCGAGGGAUAGUGACGGUACUGUAUGAAUAAGCACCGCUAAC